rnacentral:rRNA from 1 species
UGAGGAAUAUUGGUCAAUGGGCGGAAGCCUGAACCAGCCAUCCCGCGUGCAGGAAGACGGCCCUAUGGGUUGUAAACUGCUUUUCCAGGGGGAGAAACUUUCCGAUGAAUCGGGAUUUGACGGUACCCUGGGAAUAAGCAUCGGCUAACUCCGUGCCAGCAGCCGCGGUAAUACGGAGGAUGCGAGCGUUAUCCGGACUUAUUGGGUUUAAAGGGUGCGUAGGCGGAUCGAUAAGUCAGUGGUGAAAACCUGCAGCUUAACUGUAGACUUGCCGUUGAUACUGUUGGGAUUGAGUAUGGUAAAGGUAGGCGGAAUGUGUAAUGUAGCGGUGAAAUGCUUAGAUAUUACACAGAACACCGAUUGCGAAGGCAGCUUACUGGACCAUCACUGACGCUGAUGCACGAAAGCGUGGGGAUCGAACAG